CUGACAACAAGUUCUCCUCCGCUGUGGUCGCUUGACGCGAUCUUCAGCACAUUGUCGGUAUAGUGACGGUAAUAUAACUCAGAAAGUCUAACUGUGGUGGCCGGACGACUUUGAAGGAGUACCUGCAGAUAAACUCUGCUUAACUUUGGAUUUGGACCUUUUUGUUUUGUCGUGGUUGUUUCUGGACGUCGAUGAGCGCGGUGGGAAGUUUCCUCCGUCUCCGGAUUAUUCGACGAUAAAAUGUUUGUUUUCGUGUUUAAUCGGUCACAAAGGAGCUGUGAGUGUUUAUCAAAGCAGCUACAAACUGUUGCGAGGGAACAUAGAGCGGACACAGAGACGGAGAGGAAUAACGAGCUUGUGUUUGGGGCCUGGAUACGACUACAGGAAAACUGGAAACAUGGCGACUGUGCUCUCAGCUAUGGGUGGACGUGCUGUCUGCACUGCGGGUAGUUGACUAGACCGAACCGACAUCAUAUUAACGGUGUUAAAUCCAUCACAAUGAUUUCUUUUAGAGGGUCUACAACACUCUGGAGGAACUCUUAUAAACUACCGAGCUCGCCGUGGAUCGUCAGCCGGACCAGCAGCUACUCAGACGGCGAAGAGAGCUGAACAGAAGCCGACAUGUCGAUCUGCUGCGCGGGCACGCUAAACCUCCACCUCCCGGUGUUUUCCUCACAAACACCACAUCCAUCACGAUGACAGGAAAGGAUUGGAUCUCUGAUCGGACAGUUCCAUCAAGAAAUGCAGCGUGAACAUUUAAAGAGAAAACUGUUGAAGACGGGAAACAUUACUCUGGAGGAGGAUCAGUCUUCUGUUUUUUAGAGAUCACAACAGCAGCUGCAACAGCGAACAUGAGUAACAAAACAGAAGCUAUCAGUCCAUCGUCUCUUCUGACUCCAUCUCCAUCAUCUCUGGCUCCUCGUGGUGGAGCUGCAGGAGAGAAACAGGUGUGAGGUGUCAGCUGAUCACAUCACUCAGACCAGCUGCUUUCUACAAAGUCUCAUCAACAACAUCUUUACAAACAAACAUCAACAACCAGGAAGCAGCUUCACCUCUGAUCUCACACACACACUCAACUCUACUCACUCACCUGGAGGAUCAACAACACUCAGGUAGAUGCUGCUGAUGGAUUUCCACGAGUGUGUUUCUCCCAUGAAGACACGACACUCAUAUGUUCCAGUGUCAUUAAUUGUCACAUCCUUCAGAAUCAAAGACACGUCUCCAUCCUUCAUCUGUCUGUCCUGCAGAUACACCCGGUUCUUAAAAGAUGGAUGCUGGUCAUCUGGCACGAACACUUCAUCUCGGUACAAAAGGACAUAUUCGUCAUACAGAUCAGCUCUGCUCCAUUUUACACAUAUAUUGAUGUUUAGAGCUCGACAUGGCAGAGUGACGUUCUGUCCAGACUCAGCUUUGAUGUUUUUCUGGGCUGAAAGAGGAAACAACACAGAGCAUAGAGUUGAAAGGGGUCCAGCAUUUCAAGCUAAAAGGUCACCAGACAGUUUGCUGACACACACCAGGGGCGUAUUUACAGGGGUGCCAUGUGCCACACUAAAAAUAAUCUCUUGCCACCCCAGUUUUGCAUAUGACAGUGCUGUGUACUAAAAUAAUCUAUCGAUAACACUUUGAGACGAGCUACAACAAACAUUGCUUAUACAUUGUAAAACUGAAUAGACGGGA